rnacentral:rRNA from 1 species
AUUGAACGCUGGCGGCAGGCCUAACACAUGCAAGUCGAACGGCAGCUCAGAAGAGCUUGCUCUUUGGGUGGCGAGUGGCGGACGGGUGAGUAAUGUCUGGGAAACUGCCCGAUGGAGGGGGAUAACUACUGGAAACGGUAGCUAAUACCGCAUAACGUCGCAAGACCAAAGUGGGGGACCUUCGGGCCUCACACCAUCGGAUGUGCCCAGAUGGGAUUAGCUAGUAGGUGGGGUAAUGGCUCACCUAGGCGACGAUCCCUAGCUGGUCUGAGAGGAUGACCAGCCACGCGGGAGCUGAGACACGGUCCAGACUCCUACGGGAGGCAGCAGUGGGGAAUAUUGCACAAUGGGCGCAAGCCUGAUGCAGCCAUGCCGCGUGUAUGAAGAAGGCCUUCGGGUUGUAAAGUACUUUCAGCGGGGAGGAAGGCGGUGAGGUUAAUAACUUCACCGAUUGACGUUACCCGCAGAAGAAGCACCGGCUAACUCCGUGCCAGCAGCCGCAGUAA